UUAUUAUAUUUAUCUUAUUUAUUAUAUUUAUUCUAUAAGUUACGGCCUGGCACCCCUAGCCGUAUUGCACCAACACUUGCAGACUUGUCAUACUAAGCAUUCUUUCUGAAAUAAUAAAUCAGUCAGUCAAGUUUCAUCCUUCAACCAGUGCAGUGCUGAAGUUAAUCGUCCGAACCUCCCCACGGGCCGGGAAGCAGCCAACAUGGCCCGCAUCCCGGGAACCCCGUACAUAACUGGCGCAGUCGGUCGUCUCGGUGAAUUACCGAGACUUAAGAGAAUCAGGAUGAUAAUCACGAGCCGAAACCGAGGACUGGCAGGCAAACAGCAUCGAAAAAAAUCAAUAGCAUCUUCAUUCCUUCUUUUAUUUGAUAUUUCUAACGCUUUUUACUUUUAGACUUCCACCAUAUUCACUCAACACCCGCUUGGUAACCACGUCUAGGAAAGCAGCAGACGUGCAAAACAACCAGGCUAAUUUCUCCCCAAUGAACCUAACCAGCGUUUUGAGAGGUAGUAAUGGAUAUGAAGAAUGAGUUGUAAUUGUAAAAUUCGUAAUCAUUGUGGCGUUAACGAAAGAACAAAAAAAAAAAGGGUUUUAUGCCGUGAUUGAGGAGAGAGCAGACAUAGCUCAACCUCAACCCAAGUGCUUUUGUCCCUUCCAAAAGCCUUAGCCUGCAAAAAUUCUGAUGGAUGCUACUAAGAAACUGUACACCGAAUAUCGCUGUUAGAAUUAAGUUUGGUAGGACAAGUUAGCAAGAAAUCGUUUAAAUCAAACCAGAAAAUUCUCAUAAUUCUUAUGAGCCUGAGCCGCAUCAACCAAAUGCUAGGAAUGUGAUAUCCUUGAUACGUCAGGAAUCCUUCCUGUUGCCAUCCCGGGGCUCCAGACAACUAGAUUUGUGAGGCCCUCGACACGUCAGGACUCCGUCUAGCCUGGAACAGUCAUUGGGAAUGUGAUGUCCUCGAUACGUCAGGCAUCCGCCCUUGGACGAACUCCGCAGCAACUCGAGCACAUCAGUGGAACUCAGAGAAAAAAACUAAAACAGUUUUUAAAGUCGAAUCGAGACGAUUCGAGUCUAACGAUGGGGUAGUUACGGCCUGGCACCCUAGCCGUAUUGCACCAACACUUGCAGACUUGUCAUACUAAGCAUUCUUUCUGAAAUAAUAAAUCAGUCAGUCAAGUUUCAUCCUUCAA
rnacentral:lncRNA from 1 species